rnacentral:misc_RNA from 1 species
CAGGCCUCACAUCAAGCAUGUCCCUGGUGACUUCAGGAGCAAAAACUGGUACAGCAUGAAACUCAACAGGAAUGUUGAAUUUCUCAGAAAUUGCUGCGAGCUUUUUUCCCACUACGGCCAAUCCAUCUCCUCGGGCGUAUUUUGAAACUGGAUCAUCAAUACCUGUAAUACGUACAUAAGGUGCACCGCUUGGCCUGGCCGCAAGAGCUUGAAGAAGAGUCAGCCAUUGAGUCCCUUGUGCAAUUUGGAAGUCUAUAAUG